GAGUGCAGGUCCCGCCUCGAGAGGGAGAGAGCGAGAGGUGAGAUGUGCCUGUGGACCAUACUUUCCCGUUUACGGCGCCGUGGCCGUCAUAACGCCAAACGCAAGCUCCCGCGCCCCGGCAGAGUGCGGGGCACGGGGGGAGAGAGCGAGCGAGGAGGGAGUGAGGGAGGAAAGAGCGAGCGAGAGCGAGUAUGAGGGAGCGAGCGCGCUGCUGCCCGCUCGAGCCGUUAGGCCCUAACCUUCGCACGGAACCCUGGCGUGGUGUGUCGGGCCCGGCCAGGCCAUACUCGAAAGUGCGGCCAUGGACUCUCCGAGGGAGGGGCCCGCAGCCCGAGGCCCCCCGUCCUGCAUUUUCCUACUAAACGCAUUAAUAGAUUCAACACCGAGGCACAGUUAGGAAGGCAGUCUCAAGGUCAAAUAUGUAGCCGCGUCUAGUUAGUUUCGCAUUAAGCGGUGAAGUCCAGGUGCAUUGAGGUUUUGCGUCAGAGCGGGCGAGCGCUGCUCGUGUGCUGGCCCAGUCCGCCCGGGCAGCGGCCCCGCCCGCCCGGCACGCGCGCGCGACUGGAGGCCUACCCCGCCCCUGGUGGGCCGCCCCCUCCCUCCGCGCGGCCUGCAGCGGGCAGCGGCGGCGCAAAAAUCCAGCUCCGUCGGAGCUUCACUUCACUUGGGGAGCUCUCUAAAAGAAAUCACGUGAUUUCACGAGGCUAGGAACAGUUGUGAAAAAUAUUGCACCAAAAAAUAUUUUGAUUUCCCAAAGGACUCCGUAGAUUUAACAUGUCGAGCCUUUAGCGGCUUUUAGCAACCCCCCUCCUUCCCUCAUUGUUACAACUUUCUUGGGAUUUCCCACAGAUUCACCCCCCACCCCUCUACGUACCGCUACACUCCGAACCGUUCAUAAUACUUAAAUUCACAAUUCGAGAGGCCAUUGGAAACACAAAGAUGCUAUGUGUAACGCUCAGUUCCCUCCCGUUACGAUUUGAAUGUUCCCUCCCUCCUUUGGCGCGCUUCUUCCCGCCUAUGUCUCUCGGACCGGGACUACUUUGUCUCUGGCUGCCGACGUCUGAGGAACUACACUCUGACCCCUCCGCCAUUUCCGGUGGUCAGUCACCGUGAGUUGAGAGAGCCGUGAGGUCGAGAUGUUUUAUCUGCAAUCAUCUGAUUAUUUAUAAUGGCUGGGCCAUUGAAUGAUUGAUUUUAUGCUUUUAUAAGCUAUUCUUGUGCCACCUGAUAAUGAGUUUCGGUUACUGUGUGGAUAGACCCGAUGAGGAAUUUCUUUGGAAAUUAUAUUAUGCCUGAUAUGCCUUCGGGUCUUAUGUUUUAGCCUUACUUUUGGCAAUGUGCUUUUUGUUUACAUCUGUGCUUUUGGACCUCCGGCGGCAUAAACCUUUGCUUUGUUAAGUUGAGUAUUGUCAUGUGUUGCAUUUUGUAACUUUUAUUGUUUGUUCUGAAUAGCUGUCUGGUACAGCCUAUAUUUGAUUGUUGAAUCUUGAUGAUUCUAUGUAUAUGUAGUUUUAGCUUGAUGUGUUCAGCUGUUUAAAUCAGCCUUUGUUCUUGAUCUUUGUGAUCUUAUUCGUAUCUGUGAUUUUGUGGGAGAGUUUCUCCUUAUUUGUUGCCCUAUUAUUACUCUCAACUAGUGUUGUUUACUGGACCUUUUCCUUGGCUAUUUGUUUUGUUUAUAUUGGCCAAUAAAUCAUUCUUACCACAGUAUUUAAUAUCGUAGCCAUAUCCUGACGGUGCAAAUGCACCUGGCGCCCAUCUUGAGUACAAUUAAAGUCAGAGAUUAGUACAACCCAACGCCCGGCUAGCCGGCUGUACUGUCGGUAAUUUGAAUAUCAAGUCCAGUGAUUUUGGAGGCUACAUUUUGGCGCCCAACGUGGGGCUAUUUGAAUUGUUUGUUUUGUCAAUUCUUAACCUUGCAAUUUAUUUAUAGGUUAUAUUUUUGUAAGUCUGUUAUUAGCUAUCCAUCUUGUUGUGACCCUUGCUAAUAUUUUCCGA